ACAUGGUCUACCCAUGCUAGAGAAAACUUCAGCCCAGCCUUCUUAUCUGUGGGCUAUGAACACUGAGGGGGGCUGUACAGUG
rnacentral:snoRNA from 1 species